UACAUUGCAUAUGCUGAAUCAUAGACAAUGAUUGACCCUUUUUCCUUGGCAAACUGUACUAGUCGUGUCAGCUGCUCUCUUGUUGCAGCAGAACCAGUAGGAUUGUUUGGCGAACAGAAAAAUAUGAUAUCAGCUCGGCAGACCUUAGAUAAAUCAGGAAAGAAGCCAUUUUCAGGAUUACACCUCAUGUAUUCAAUAUUUCCAUAUUUCUCUGCAUCCUUCUGAUACAGUCCUGUCUGGCCCAUUAUGACACUAGAGUCUACAUAUGCCGGGUAUGAUGGAUCCUGCACUGCAAUAGUGGCUUCAGACCCAAAAAGAACCUGAAGACGGGAUAUGUCACAUUUUGCACCAUCUGAGACGAAUAUAUCAUCUUCGUCAAUGCCAAGGCCUCCAUAAAAUGUUGAAACAAUUGCAGCUCUCAAUGGUUUUUCACCUUGUUCAGCUCCAUAACCGCUGUAACCCUGAAGAGUGGACAAUGCUUGUGAUCUCUUUGACAUUGCAGAAGUUAUUACUUCUGGAAUGGGCUCAGUGGUGUCGCCAAUUCCGAGGCUUAUCACUUUUGAAUCAGGGUAUUUCUGCAAGUGGGCAUUCCUCCUACGAGCAAUCUCUGGAAACAGGUACCCAGCUUGAAGCUUGGCCAUGUUUGCAUUACGAGAAACAUUCGUCUUGUAGGUGGUCUUCUCUUCCUGAGGGAUUGCUACACACCUACAAGUCCCAAAAUUUUUCGAGGGAAGCGAAACAUCCCUGUUUCUAUAGGGGAAGACUGAAGAAGCUAAAAAAGAAGAGGAAGAAGAGGAGAUAGAGGUGGAAAUAUGUUGGGUGAGCGACAUUUGGUCUUUGAAUGAAUAUGGAAGAAUGAAGAGAGCAAAACCACAAAAGCUUCUGCAGAUACUGAAGGAGAAAUGGUAGAGGCUAAAAGGCGACCACUGUUUUUGAAGCAAAGAUGUAGUGUCUUUUUUUUACUAUAUUUUUCUUAGGGUUUAAUGUUUGUUUAUUAAUACUAAUCAG
rnacentral:misc_RNA from 1 species